GUUUUUCUUUCCAUUUGUCUCACAUCUGCGUCUGGAUAAUGGCCUCUGAUAUCGGUGAGAGAGCACCUAAAGAAAGAAUGUACAUAGAGCUCCCAAAGAAAUACCGGGCUGUCUUGUCCAAAUUCUAUGAUUUGGAUCAUGGCUUGUUCAUCACAGACCUGAAUCCCUAUAUAAAUGAAGAUUAUGUAGCUGCCUAUUUUAAACCUUUUGGAUGUGUC